AGAGUUUGAUCAUGGCUCAGAUUGAACGCUAGCGGGAUGCUUUACACAUGCAAGUCGAACGGCAGCACGAGAGAGCUUGCUCUCUUGGUGGCGAGUGGCGGACGGGUGAGUAAUAUAUCGGAACGUGCCCAGUAGCGGGGGAUAACUACUCGAAAGAGUGGCUAAUACCGCAUACGCCCUACGGGGGAAAGGGGGGGAUCGCAAGACCUCUCACUAUUGGAGCGGCCGAUAUCGGAUUAGCUAGUUGGUGGGGUAAAGGCUCACCAAGGCAACGAUCCGUAGCUGGUUUGAGAGGACGACCAGCCACACUGGGACUGAGACACGGCCCAGACUCCUACGGGAGGCAGCAGUGGGGAAUUUUGGACAAUGGGGGAAACCCUGAUCCAGCCAUCCCGCGUGUAUGAUGAAGGCCUUCGGGUUGUAAAGUACUUUUGGCAGAGAAGAAAAGGCAUCCCCUAAUACGGGAUGCUGCUGACGGUAUCUGCAGAAUAAGCACCGGCUAACUACGUGCCAGCAGCCGCGGUAAUACGUAGGGUGCAAGCGUUAAUCGGAAUUACUGGGCGUAAAGCGUGUGUAGGCGGUUCGGAAAGAAAGAUGUGAAAUCCCAGGGCUCAACCUUGGAACUGCAUUUUUAACUGCCGAGCUAGAGUAUGUCAGAGGGGGGUAGAAUUCCACGUGUAGCAGUGAAAUGCGUAGAUAUGUGGAGGAAUACCGAUGGCGAAGGCAGCCCCCUGGGAUAAUACUGACGCUCAGACACGAAAGCGUGGGGAGCAAACAGGAUUAGAUACCCUGGUAGUCCACGCCCUAAACGAUGUCAACUAGCUGUUGGGGCCGUUAGGCCUUAGUAGCGCAGCUAACGCGUGAAGUUGACCGCCUGGGGAGUACGGUCGCAAGAUUAAAACUCAAAGGAAUUGACGGGGACCCGCACAAGCGGUGGAUGAUGUGGAUUAAUUCGAUGCAACGCGAAAAACCUUACCUACCCUUGACAUGUCUGGAAUGCCGAAGAGAUUUGGCAGUGCUCGCAAGAGAACCGGAACACAGGUGCUGCAUGGCUGUCGUCAGCUCGUGUCGUGAGAUGUUGGGUUAAGUCCCGCAACGAGCGCAACCCUUGUCAUUAGUUGCUACGCAAGAGCACUCUAAUGAGACUGCCGGUGACAAACCGGAGGAAGGUGGGGAUGACGUCAAGUCCUCAUGGCCCUUAUGGGUAGGGCUUCACACGUCAUACAAUGGUCGGGACAGAGGGUCGCCAACCCGCGAGGGGGAGCCAAUCUCAGAAACCCGAUCGUAGUCCGGAUCGCAGUCUGCAACUCGACUGCGUGAAGUCGGAAUCGCUAGUAAUCGCGGAUCAGAAUGUCGCGGUGAAUACGUUCCCGGGUCUUGUACACACCGCCCGUCACACCAUGGGAGUGGGUUUCACCAGAAGUAGGUAGCCUAACCGCAAGGAGGGCGCUUACCACGGUGGGAUUCAUGACUGGGGUGAAGUCGUAACAAGGUAACCGU
rnacentral:rRNA from 2 species